CUUGCUUGUACUCUGUUUGAUGGUUUGGAUAAAAAUUUAUGAGUGUAGAAUCCAGGUAGCCGGGAAUGUUUUAUUUGCUAUUUUAUGUGUGCAUGUUUUCUUGAUGUUGUGAAAGGAGUUCUAAAUAUACUGUUUUUACUGUAGGUACUCUCUGGUCUCACUGCUCUUUUUUUGUCACUGCAUUUUUUAGUUUAUUGUACUCUUUGGUUCUCAAUAGGUUUUACAUUAAAUUUAUGUCUUUCAUUUUGGAAUUAUUGGAACGUGGUUCUUGAGGAUUUCCUUUAAUGAUCUUAUUCAAGUAAAUCUUGCUAUACCAAGUUACAGGCGGAGUAAACCGUAACCUAAAUAACAGGUUUCUUGUGUGGCUGGACUUUGAUUUAUUGGAUGUUCAAUGCUAGAUUUACUGCUUUGUGUGAGAGUGUGUACACACACACACACACACACACACACACACAUAUUAAUCAUUCCUGUUAGGUUUUUGGCCAAGCCUUACUUGCAGAGCACAGUUGAUUGCCGGCAUAGGCUUUUAGGUUUGUCUUGUUGCACUUGUAGCAUCUAAGUGCUUCCUUGGUAGAUUCUUCCUUAUUUCCAUCAGUUUUGAAGUUUGAGAACUUUUUGUUUGAAAACUAGGAGGUCCUGUAGGUUUAUUUUUCCU
rnacentral:lncRNA from 1 species